rnacentral:ncRNA from 12 species
AUAUGAAUAUAUGGGAGCUAGUAGUAACUGGCUGAGAGGAAACUGAGACUGUUUCGACCUUAACUGAUCUGGGUAAUGCUAGCGGAGUUGUUUAUUCCUAGAAAUAAG